rnacentral:rRNA from 1 species
UACGUAGGGGGCAAGCGUUGUCCGGAAUCAUUGGGCGUAAAGCGCGUGUAGGCGGCCAGAAAAGUCCGCUGUGAAAACUCGAGGCUCAACUUCGAGCUGUCGGUGGAAACUUUCUGGCUAGAGUCCGGAAGAGGAGAAUGGAAUUCCUGGUGUAGCGGUGAAAUGCGCAGAUAUCAGGAAGAACACCCGUGGCGAAGGCGGUUCUCUGGGCCGAUACUGACGCUGAGGAGCGAAAAGCGUGGGGGAGCGAACAGG